rnacentral:rRNA from 1 species
CACUGCCGAGAAAAGCCUCUAGAUAGAAAAUAGGUGCCCGUACCGCAAACCGACACAGGUAGUCAAGAUGAGAAUUCUAAGGUGAGCGAGCGAACUCUCGUUAAGGAACUCGGCAAAAUGACCCCGUAACUUCGGGAGAAGGGGUGCUCUUUAGGGUUAACGCCCAGAAGAGCCGCAGUGAAUAGGCCCAAGCGACUGUUUAUCAAAAACACAGGUCUCUGCUAAACCGUAAGGUGAUGUAUAGGGGCUGACGCCUGCCCGGUGCUGGAAGGUUAAGAGGAGUGGUUAGCUUCUGCGAAGCUACGAAUCGAAGCCCCAGUAAACGGCGGCCGUAACUAUAACGGUCCUAAGGUAGCGAAAUUCCUUGUCGGGUAAGUUCCGACCCGCACGAAAGGCGUAACGAUUUGGGCACUGUCUCAACGAGAGACUCGGUGAAAUCAUAGUACCUGUGAAGAUGCAGGUUACCCGCGACAGGACGGAAAGACCCCGUGGAGCUUUACUGUAGCCUGAUAUUGAAAUUCGGCACAGCUUGUACAGGAUAGGUAGGAGCCUUUGAAACGUGAGCGCUAGCUUACGUGGAGGCGCUGGUGGGAUACUACCCUAGCUGUGUUGGCUUUCUAACCCGCACCACUUAUCGUGGUGGGAGACAGUGUCAGGCGGGCAGUUUGACUGGGGCGGUCGCCUCCUAAAAGGUAACGGAGGCGCUCAAAGGUUCCCUCAGAAUGGUUGGAAAUCAUUCAUAGAGUGUAAAGGCAUAAGGGAGCUUGACUGCGAGACCUACAAGUCGAGCAGGGUCGAAAGACGGAC